UUCUUGAUAGAUAAGUUUGUAUAUUUAUAAAUAUGUGAAGUAUUUAUAAAGUUAAAUAUAAAAAAAAAAGAUAUAAAAGAGUUAUAAGACUUUAUGAGAUAGAUAUCUCAUAUGACUAUUAAAUAUUUAUGUAUUAUCAGUGUGUAUUUUUAAAUAUUUGUGAGUGAAUAGGAAGAGACUGAGAGGGUUUACAUAUAUAUGAUAAACUGGUGCUCAUGGAUAUACAUGGAUAUACAUUUGU
rnacentral:lncRNA from 1 species